rnacentral:misc_RNA from 1 species
AACUUUUGGCAAUGGAUCACUUGGCUCUCCCAUCGAUGAAGAACGCAGCGAAAUGCGAUACGUAAUGUGAAUUGCAGAAUUCAGUGAGUCAUCGAAUCUUUGAACGCACAUUGCGCCCUUUGGUAUUCCGAAGGGCAUGCCUGUUCGAGCGUCAUUAUCAUCCGUCAAGCCUGGCUUGCUGUUGGAUCUCACAUCGGUUGAGAUGGGUCCGAAAGAUAAUGACGGUGUCGUCAACGACCCCAGGUGCAACGAGCUUUAUAGCACGCACGGUGGUGGUCGGCCGGCCCGGUCUUAACUAUAUUUAUUCUCAAGGUUGACCUCGGAUCAGGUAGGAAUACCCGCUGAACUUAAGCAUAUCAAUAAGCGGAGGCU